rnacentral:rRNA from 1 species
GAAUCUACCUAGUUCUACGGAACAACAGAGGGAAACUUCUGCUAAUACCGUAUACGCCCUAUGGGGGAAAGAUUUAUCGGAAUUAGAUGAGCCCGCGUAAGAUUAGCUAGUUGGUGAGGUAAUGGCUCACCAAGGCGACGAUCUUUAGCUGGUCUGAGAGGAUGAUCAGCCACACUGGGACUGAGACACGGCCCAGACUCCUACGGGAGGCAGCAGUGGGGAAUAUUGGACAAUGGGCGCAAGCCUGAUCCAGCCAUGCCGCGUGAGUGAUGAAGGCCUUAGGGUUGUAAAGCUCUUUCAGUAGGGAAGAUAAUGACGGUACCUACAGAAGAAGCCCCGGCUAACUUCGUGCCAGCAGCCGCGGUAAUACGAAGGGGGCUAGCGUUGUUCGGAUUUACUGGGCGUAAAGCGCACGUAGGCGGAUUGGUCAGUUAGAGGUGAAAUCCUGGAGCUCAACUCCAGAACUGCCUUUAAUACUGCCAGUCUCGAGUCCGGAAGAGGUGAGUGGAACUCCUAGUGUAGAGGUGGAAUUCGUAGAUAUAGAGAACCCCGGGCC